AACUGAUACUACCUGCGGGAACCUGCGGAAGGAUCAUUACAGGACUCGCAAGACUCCUACAACCCUGUGAACCUACUAUACGAACGUUGCUUCGGCGGGUGCGCCCCGGGGAUUCGUUCCCGCGGCGCGUCAGCCCGCCGGCAGCCUACAAAUUCUGUUUCUUUGCGUUGGCAUCUCGAGAAAAACAAAUAAGUUAAAACUUUCAACAACGGAUCUCU
rnacentral:misc_RNA from 1 species